CAACGAAUAUUCCGCAAUGGGCGCAAGCCUGACGGAGCGACGCCGCGUGAAGGAUGAAGUCCCUCGGGAUGUAAACUUCAAUAGUUUGUCAGGAAGUAAGGCGACCUAAUACGUCGCCGAGUUGACCAGCAAACGAAAGGGACGGCUAACUCCGUGCCAGCAGCCGCGGUAAGACGGAGGUCCCGAGCGUUGUUCGGAUUCACUGGGCGUAAAGGGUGCGUAGGUGGUGAGGCAAGUCGGAUGUGAAAGCUCGGAGCUCAACUCCGAAAUGGCAUUGGAAACGGCCUUGCUGGAGGGUCGGAGGAGGGACUGGAAUUCUCGGUGUAGCAGUGAAAUGCGUAGAUAUGUCAUAGAACACCGAUUGCGAAGGCAGCUAACGAAACUAUAACGGACGCUGAGGCACGAAAGUGC
rnacentral:rRNA from 1 species